UACGGGAGGCAGCAGUGGGGAAUAUUGCACAAUGGGCGAAAGCCUGAUGCAGCUAUGCCGCGUGUAUGAAGAAGGCCUUAGGGUUGUAAAGUACUUUCAUCGGGGAGGAAAAAACAAAACUAAUAAUUUUAUUUCUUGACGUUACCCGAAAAAGAAGCACCGGCUAACUCCGUGCCAGCAGCCGCGGUAAUACGGAGGGUGCUAGCGUUAAUCAGAAUUACUGGGUGUAAAGAGCACGUAGGUGGUUUUUUAAGUCAGAUGUGAAAUCCCUGGGCUUAACCUAGGAACUGCAUUUUGAAACUGAAAUACUAGAGUAUCGUAGAGGGAGGUAGAAUUCUAGGUGUAGCGGUGAAAUGCGUAGAUAUCUGGAGGAAUACCUGUGGCGAAAGCGGCCUCCUAAACGAAUACUGACACUGAGGUGCGAAAGCGUGGGGAGCAAACAGGGAUUAGAUACC
rnacentral:rRNA from 1 species